rnacentral:lncRNA from 1 species
GGUGCCAACAUAGGAGAGAGUAUGGGAAUUCUUAUCUGAUGUAAUCAAAUGAUAUCACUCCACCAAUCAGAAUUUUUUCAGAAUUUAUUGGAAUUUUCUGAUUGGUCGAAUGAUGUGGCACUGCGCAGCAUACAGGAUCUAUAUAAACCCUGUUGCACCUAGGGUUUCGAGAUAGAACUUGUUUUAUGCAAAAAACCCAUUAGCUGCUGUCUCCUCCCCUCUUAUCUAAUCCUCCCU